UACGAAGGGGGCUAGCGUUGUUCGGAAUUACUGGGCGUAAAGGGCGCGUAGGCGGCGCGUUAAGUCAGGUGUGAAAGCCCUGGGCUCAACCCAGGAAUUGCACUUGAUACUGACGUGCUUGAAUCCGGAAGAGGAUGACGGAAUUCCCAGUGUAGAGGUGAAAUUCAUUGAUAUUGGGAAGAACACCAGUGGCGAAGGCGGUCAUCUGGUCCGGUAUUGACGCUGAGGCGCGAAAGCGUGGGGAGCAAACAGGAUUAGAUACCCCUGUAGUCC
rnacentral:rRNA from 1 species